rnacentral:rRNA from 1 species
CAGGCUUAACACAUGCAAGUCGAGGGGCAGCAUGGUCUUAGCUUGCUAAGACUGAUGGCGACCGGCGCACGGGUGAGUAACACGUAUCCAACCUGCCGUCUACUCUUGGACAGCCUUCUGAAAGGAAGAUUAAUACAAGAUGGCAUCAUGAGUCCACAUGUUCACAUGAUUAAAGGUAUUCCGGUAGACGAUGGGGAUGCGUUCCAUUAGAUAGUAGGCGGGGUAACGGCCCACCUAGUCUUCGAUGGAUAGGGGUUCUGAGAGGAAGGUCCCCCACAUUGGAACUGAGACACGGUCCAAACUCCUACGGGAGGCAGCAGUGAGGAAUAUUGGUCAAUGGGCGAGAGCCUGAACCAGCCAAGUAGCGUGAAGGAUGACUGCCCUAUGGGUUGUAAACUUCUUUUAUAAAGGAAUAAAGUCGGGUAUGCAUACCCGUUUGCAUGUACUUUAUGAAUAAGGAUCGGCUAACUCCGUGCCAGCAGCCGCGGUAAUACGGAGGAUCCGAGCGUUAUCCGGAUUUAUUGGGUUUAAAGGGAGCGUAGAUGGAUGUUUAAGUCAGUUGUGAAAGUUUGCGGCUCAACCGUAAAAUUGCAGUUGAUACUGGAUAUCUUGAGUGCAGUUGAGGCAGGCGGAAUUCGUGGUGUAGCGGUGAAAUGCUUAGAUAUCACGAAGAACUCCGAUUGCGAAGGCAGCCUGCUAAGCUGCAACUGACAUUGAGGCUCGAAAGUGUGGGUAUCAAACAGGAUUAGAUACCCUGGUAGUCCACACGGUAAACGAUGAAUACUCGCUGUUUGCGAUAUACAGCAAGCGGCCAAGCGAAAGCGUUAAGUAUUCCACCUGGGGAGUACGCCGGCAACGGUGAAACUCAAAGGAAUUGACGGGGGCCCGCACAAGCGGAGGAACAUGUGGUUUAAUUCGAUGAUACGCGAGGAACCUUACCCGGGCUUAAAUUGCAGAUGAAUUACGGUGAAAGCCGUAAGCCGCAAGGCAUCUGUGAAGGUGCUGCAUGGUUGUCGUCAGCUCGUGCCGUGAGGUGUCGGCUUAAGUGCCAUAACGAGCGCAACCCUUGUUGUCAGUUACUAACAGGUCCUGCUGAGGACUCUGACAAGACUGCCAUCGUAAGAUGUGAGGAAGGUGGGGAUGACGUCAAAUCAGCACGGCCCUUACGUCCGGGGCUACACACGUGUUACAAUGGGGGGUACAGAGGGCCGCUACCACGCGAGUGGAUGCCAAUCCCCAAAACCUCUCUCAGUUCGGACUGGAGUCUGCAACCCGACUCCACGAAGCUGGAUUCGCUAGUAAUCGCGCAUCAGCCACGGCGCGGUGAAUACGUUCCCGGGCCUUGUACACACCGCCCGUCAAGCCAUGGGAGCCGGGGGUACCUGAAGUGCGUAACCGCGAGGAGCGCCCUAGGGUAAAACUGGUGACUGGGGC